rnacentral:rRNA from 1 species
CAAUGCGCGCAAGCGUGAAAGAUUGAGCCAGAGUGUUUAUCUUAUGAUAAACUUUUAUGGAAUCUAAAAAGUUCCGUGAAUAAGGACUGGGUAAGACGAGUGCCAGCCGCCGCGGUAAUCCUCGCGGUCCAAGUUGCAACCAUCAUUAUUGGGUCUAAAACAUCCGUAGCUUGCUUUGUAAGUUUCUUGUGAAAUUCUGUCUCUCAAGGGCAGAGCGUGCAAGAAGUACUGCUAAGCUAGAGACUGGAAGACGUAAAAAGUAUAUCAGAAGUAGCGGUCAAAUGUGUUGAUCUCUGGUAGACUCACAACAGCGAAGGCAUUUUACGAGGACAGUUCUGACAGUAAGGGAUGAAGGCUAAGGGCGCAAAGUGGAUUAGAUACCCACGUAGUCUUAGCUGUAAACACUGCACACUAAACAUCAGUACCUCCUCGAGAGGUAUUGGUGCUGAAGAGAAGUCGAAGAGUGUGCUACCUGGGAAGUAUAGCCGCAAGGCCGAAACUUAAAGGAAUUGGCGGAGAGACACUGCAACAGGUGACGCGUGCGGUUCAAUUAGAUUCUACACCGUGAACCUCACCAGGAGCGACAGCAGAAUGAAGGUCAGUCUAAAGGGCUUACCUGACACGCUGAGAGGUGGUGCAUGGCCA